GAUUUCAAUUGAAAACAUCAUCAACAACAAAUUUGUAUAACUCAUCAAUAUCUAUAACUUUUAUUUUUGUCAUUUCUUUAUCUGACAAAGUGAUAGUAACAUUUGUAUAAAAUCUACAUAUUUGUCUUAUAGUUUAUAAAACCAUAUAAGAGAUAUGUAAUUUUUGUGAACAAUACUAUUAUCACUUCAUCGGAUGAAGAAAUGAUCAAAAUAAAAGUUGUAGAUAUUGAUGAGUUAUACAACUGUGUUGGGGAUGACUUUUUCAGUUGAAAUC
rnacentral:pre_miRNA from 1 species